rnacentral:lncRNA from 1 species
AUGCUCAGCGCGGAGCGCAGCGCUCCGGACAGCGGCGGGCGGCUCAGGGGAGGCUGCGCCCCGCGGGGAAGGAUCGAGCUGGGCUGGGAGCGGGGAGAGCCGGGGGUGUUAGUUAGCCCCGCUCGUUCGCUGCUUAACGAUUCAGCCGACCCCGCAGCAGCUGCAGCGUUAUGGAAGGCGAAACCCGCGCGCUCCUUCCGCGGGACGCUCCCCCCCAACGGAACCUCGAAGGCAGCACCGCCGCCUACACCCGCCCCACCCAAAGGGGCACCCUGGGAAUUAACCCCCCCCUCGCUCCCUCCGCCUCGGUCCCGCACUCACCGGCGCGGCGCCCCGUCCCGACUGUCGGCGGAGCCCCCGCGGGCGGCCAUAAGGAGGGCGGCGGCGGCUGCAGAGCUAGCGGGAGAAAAUGCUUGUCAUGGCAACCCGGGCCGGGCCUGCCGGGGGAGGGGCUGCCUUAAGGUGGCGGCCCGCCCCGUCCGCUGCUUAAGGGGGACGGGAGGCGGCGGGCGGGGCUGCGUCCCCUGGGCGCUGCGGGGCGGGUGCGUGCUCGGGCGGUAUCGGUGCACCCCGCGGACACUGCCCCUCUACCCCAGGAAGCACCGUCGAGUAGUACAGGUGAACCCCGGUGCCGGUACGUGUACCUCCAUACGUCGUGGGCUUCCCCAUAGGCAACCCCCACCACCAACCCCCGAGCAGUACAGAUGUACACCCAGGAGGUGGGUGUCCGUGCAGUGUCACCCACGUGGAGCAGCUGCAAGCGGUGCACGAACCCGUGGGGACAGAGGACCCCCCUCCAAGCACGGUGGUCCGUGUGUGCCCCCCACCUCGAGCGGUACGUCCAGGGUGCGCGGCUGCAGGGCGGCAUUGUGUGCACUCCUGGCACUGCGGAUCCUCCCUUGGGCAGUGCAGUGCACGCACCACCAAGCGCUGUGCCUGCACCCCCAAAAUCUGUGUACCCCCUUCUGCACAUACUGCACCCCUGCUGUGGUGGUACAGAUUUCCUCGAGCAGUGUAAGUUGCUCCCUCAUGAUGGAUGCAUCUGGGACACCCCCCAGCUCCCCUGGCAGUGUGGUCACUGCAAAACAGGAUGCACAGAAAGUCCUUCCUGCUGCGAGCAUGGGGCACAAAAUCUCUGGAGCAGAGCUCGGGGUUCCUUGUGGUCACUGUCGUUGGUGA